UAGGGAAUCUUCCGCAAUGGACGAAAGUCUGACGGAGCAACGCCGCGUGAGUGAAGAAGGAUUUCGGUUCGUAAAACUCUGUUGUUAGGGAAGAAAAAAUGUAUAGUAACUAUAUACAAAAGAGACGGUACCUAACCAGAAAGCCACGGCUAACUACGUGCCAGCAGCCGCGGUAAUACGGAGGUGGCAAGCGUUGUCCGGAAUUAUUGGGCGUAAAGCGCGCGCAGGUGGUUUAGAAAGUCUGAUGUGAAAGCCCACGGCUCAACCGUGGAGGGUCAUUGGAAACUAAUAAACUUGAGUGCAGGAGAGAAAAGUGGAAUUCCUAGUGUAGCGGUGAAAUGCGUAGAGAUUAGGAGGAACACCGGUGGCGAAAGCGGCUUUUUGGCCUGCAACUGACGCUGAGGCGCGAAAGCGUGGGGAGCAAACAGG
rnacentral:rRNA from 1 species